UACGUAGGGCGCAAGCGUUGUCCGGAAUUAUUGGGCGUAAAGAGCUCGUAGGCGGUUUGUCGCGUCGGCUGUGAAAUCCCGAGGCUCAACCUCGGGUCUGCAGUCGAUACGAGCAAACUAGAGUGUUGCAGGGGAGACUGGAAUUCCUGGUGUAGCGGUGAAAUGCGCAGAUAUCAGGAGGAACACCGGUGGCGAAGGCGGGUCUCUGGGCAACAACUGACGCUGAGGAGCGAAAGCGUGGGGAGCGAACAGG
rnacentral:rRNA from 1 species